rnacentral:rRNA from 1 species
GACGAACGCGGCGGCGUGCCUAAUACAUGCAAGUAGAACGCACAGUUUAUACCGUAGCUUGCUACACCAUAGACUUGAGUUGCGAACGGGUGAGUAACGCGUAGGUAACCUGCCUGGUAGCGGGGGAUAACUAUUGGAAACGAUAGCUAAUACCGCAUAAUAUUAAUUAUUGCAUGAUAAUUGAUUAAAAGGUGCAAUUGCACCACUACCAGAUGGACCUGCGUUGUAUUAGCUAGUAGGUGAGGUAACGGCUCACCUAGGCGACGAUACAUAGCCGACCUGAGAGGGUGAUCGGCCACACUGGGACUGAGACACGGCCCAGACUCCUACGGGAGGCAGCAGUAGGGAAUCUUCGGCAAUGGACGAAAGUCUGACCGAGCAACGCCGCGUGAGUGAAGAAGGUUUUCGGAUCGUAAAGCUCUGUUGUAAGAGAAGAACGGGUGUGAGAGUGGAAAGUUCACACUGUGACG